AGAAAGAAUGCAGGGUGAGGGCCCACAGCGCACCUGGCCUGGCACACACCCUGUUGUAUCCAUACAGCCCACCCCUCCAGCUCCCUCUACUGUACAGCCCCAGGCAGCAGGGGAGCUGGGCGCCUACUCCCAGUCAGGCUGGGGCACCAAUGGGGUUGGUGCAAGGAACAAGGGGCACAGUGCUACUCUCAGAUGAAGCUGAUGGUGCCCAGUACAAGGAGAGGGAAACCCAGGAUGGCUUUGCCCCUGUGGGUAGGCAGAGGAAGGCCCCAGACACCAGGCAUAUGCCAUCCUGGUGGGCCAUCUGGA